rnacentral:rRNA from 1 species
UGAUCGGUACGGGUUGUGAGAGCAAGAGCCCGGAGAUGGAUUCUGAGACACGAAUCCAGGCCCUACGGGGCGCAGCAGGCGCGAAAACUUUACAAUGCGAGAAAUCGUGAUAAGGGAACCCCGAGUGCCCGUAAAUUCGGGCUGUCCGCCAGUGUAAAUAACUGGUGAAGAAAGGGCCGGGCAAGACCGGUGCCAGCCGCCGCGGUAAUACCGGCGGCUCGAGUGGUGGCCACUAUUACUGGGCUUAAAGCGUCCGUAGCUGGAUUGUUAAGUCUCUUGGGAAAUCCACCGGCUCAACCGAUGGGCGUUCAGGAGAAACUGGCAAUCUAGGGACCGGGAGAGGUGAGAGGUACUCCAGGGGUAGGAGUGAAAUCCUGUAAUCCUUGGGGGACCACCUGUGGCGAAGGCGUCUCACUAGAACGGCUCCGACAGUGAGGGACGAAAGCUGGGGGAGCAAACCGGAUUAGAUACCCGGGUAGUCCCAGCUGUAAACGAUGCGCGUUAGGUGUAUCGGUGACCACGAGUCAUCGAGGUGCCGAAGGGAAACCG